AAUAAAUAGAGUAUUAAGUACUAUAGGAAAAAGGGAAUUAUAAAAUCAGAAAGAGACAUAAAUGCUGUGCUAAGGCAUUUCAACUCUUCCAGAGACUUCUUGCCUGAGUGAGACUAGCUGUGCAAACAGCCCAUGUAAAACAUCAACUCCUGUUUCACGCGAGAAGAGACGACAGACAACUGCCAGGAGUGCUGCUUUCUCUUGCUGUAUGGUGAAACACUUUAGACAACCACAUCUUUUUUCCUAAGACAUGUGAAGCUGAUGUAAAUAUUGAAAUAAUAUAGAAGACCCAGGAAGAAUAACUUAAAAUCAUAAUAGGGUAGGCUCUGCUGCGAGCUAUAGGAGAUGAAUAAGAAAUGGCAUCUGACUUCAAGAAGCUUCUAAUUGUAUUAUAGAGCUCGGAUAGAGGCAUGUGGAAGAAGAACCGUAAUGAGUAAAAGAUUACGAAAAAUACCAAGUUUGUGACCACAUAAGUUGCUAAGGGAAUUCAAAGAAGGAAGAGGAGUAUCGUUCAGGACGGCUUGAUGGACAAAACGGAAUGUGCUCAAGCCCUUUGAAAGGAUUUUGAUACGAAAGCUGAAAAUUAGAGAACAAAAUGAAAUGCUCCAACAUUGAGAAGCAAUUAAAGUUGCCUUUAGUUGUUGUGUCUAUGAACAUAUUUUGUGGGAUAUAUUUGGGAGGCAGCUUUUCAACAUAAGAGCAAAAGUCAGUAAGUUUUCUGGAAUGUUCUAUUUUGCUUUACCUUUGUUACUUACAGAAAAACAAGUAAGAUAAAAUACAUUUUCAGUCAAAUAAUGUAACAUAAUAUGAGAAGGACUGGCUGUUGUCAACCUGAUGAUCAGGAUAUAUUUUAGAGUUUUUUAUUUUUUUAGCCAAUAUAACCAUAAAAUGACAAAAUACCCUUUUCCAGGAUAUUUAGUGAUUCACUGGAUGAGUCAUACCUUUUAAAAUCUCUGCUCCUUUCAUCAUAACUUGGAAAUUUUCCAUAUUAUAAACUGUAUUUUCUUUCAUGCCUAUAAGAACCAAAGGCUAUGUUUGGAAAUCCAGAUACCACCUUAAUCUGUAGGGUUAUUGUAAGAUGGGUUUAUGUGAUCUGAAAGUCUUUUGUAUUUGUGCUGUAUAGCUCGAUUCUUAUCUGAAUUUUUUAAAAUGUCCAGGCCAGAGAUGUGACAAACUCUUGACCAUGCCAUAGUUUCAAAGGUUUGUGGAAAGACCUGAGUGUUGAGUCGCACACUAGAUGCGGUAUGCUGUUGCGUGUGACUUCCCUGGUUGUGUCUUAAAAGCAAUCUCUACUUCUACAGCAGAGUUGCAAAUCAAAAGUGAACUACCAUUUUUUGAUCACUGGUGAGUAAACAUUUAAAAAACUGGAGCCCUACUUUCAGGUGUGGUGGUGAAAUCGUAUUGCUCUCCAUUCAUACCUAGAAGUACUUUAAUCUGAUUGUUUACUCUGUAAGCAAAGCAUUACCACAUGCAACACUCCCUCUUGUUUUUCCCCUCUUGCAUUAUUCACACUAAUGCCGGAGCAGAUUUAUUAAUAUCAGCCUGCAAAUGGCAUUAUUCCACAUACUCUGAGAAUUUACAUCCUGGGAUCAACAUUUAUAGAGCAAUAAAAGUAGCACA
rnacentral:lncRNA from 1 species